rnacentral:rRNA from 1 species
UACGUAGGCAGCGAGCGUUGUUCGGAAUUACUGGGCGUAAAGAGUGUGUAGGCGGUGCUCUAAGUCUGUCGUGAAAUCUCCCGGCUUAACUGGGAGGCUGCGGCGGAAACUGGUGUGCUAGAGGGUGGGAGAGGUAAGCGGAAUUCCUGGUGUAGCGGUGAAAUGCGUAGAUAUCAGGAGGAACACCUGCGGUGUAGACAGCUUACUGGACCACUUCUGACGCUGAGACACGAAAGCGUGGGUAGCAAACAGG